ACGGCCAUAUCAUGCUAAAAACGCUGGUUCUCAUCUGAUUACCGCAAUUAAGCAGCAUCAGGCAAGCCAGUACCUACUUGGGAGGGUGACAACCUGGGAACACUGUUUGCUGUU